rnacentral:rRNA from 1 species
CCUACGGGCGGCUGCAGUGGGGAAUAUUGCACAAUGGGGGAAACCCUGAUGCAGCGACGCCGCGUGAGUGAAGAAGUAUUUCGGUAUGUAAAGCUCUAUUAGCAGGGAAGAAAAUGACGGUACCUGAUUAAGAAGCCCCGGCUAAUUACGUGCCAGCAGCCGUGGUAAUACGCAGGGGGCAAGCGUUAUCCGGAUUUACCGGGUGUAAAGGGAGCGUAGGCGGCAGCGUAAGUCUGAGGUGAAAUGUCGGGGCUUAACCCCGAAACUGCUUGGGAAACGGUGCAGCUAGAGUACAGGAGAGGUAAGUGGAAUUCCUGGUGUAGCGGUGAAAUGCGUAGAUAUUAGGAAGAACACCGAUGGCGAAGGCAGCUUACUGAACUGUAACUGACGUUGAGGCUCGAAAGCGUGGGGAGCAAACAGGAUUAGAUACCCUAGUAGUC